rnacentral:rRNA from 1 species
AUUGAACGCUGGCGGCAUGCCUUACACAUGCAAGUCGAACGGUAACAGGUCUUCGGAUGCUGACGAGUGGCGAACGGGUGAGUAAUACAUCGGAACGUGCCUAGUAGUGGGGGAUAACUACUCGAAAGAGUGGCUAAUACCGCAUGAGAUCUACGGAUGAAAGCAGGGGAUCGCAAGACCUUGUGCUACUAGAGCGGCCGAUGGCAGAUUAGGUAGUUGGUGGGAUAAAAGCUUACCAAGCCGACGAUCUGUAGCUGGUCUGAGAGGACGAUCAGCCACACUGGGACGUGGACACGGCCCAGACUCCUACGGGAGGCAGCAGUGGGGAAUUUUGGACAAUGGGCGAAAGCCUGAUCCAGCAAUGCCGCGUGCAGGAUGAAGGCCUUCGGGUUGUAAACUGCUUUUGUACGGAACGAAAAGCCCCGGGUUAAUACCCUGGGGUCAUGACGGUACCGUAAGAAUAAGCACCGGCUAACUACGUGCCAGCCGCCGCAGUAA